ensembl:lncRNA
CAACCCUUAGUUACAGGGGCAAAAUUCCCUCUUUUGGCCAUAUGAGAAUAAUCCUCCUUCCAUAAAUGCCUAAAAAGCAGGAUAACUAUAGGAAACAACUAUGGUCCGACCCUAGAUAACAGACAGUGUAGGACUAUAAUUCCUGAGAGAAGAAAAACAAAGAGGAGAAGCCACGAAUUUGGUGUUUCCUCCCUACUGAGCUACAGCUGUGCCAGAUGAAGUGAGAUCUGCCUUUUUGUGUUCUCGUGGUCUCCCUGGGACAUUUGCCUCAGAUGCCCUAACACCAAGGAGUCCUUUGAUCAGAACAGUGGAGAGUGCAGCCCAGAAGCAGAUAUCUGGGCUCAGGGAGAUGCUCAGCAGGGAGAAUCCCAGAGCACCUGUUCCCAGCCCAGGGGUCACGUCACCUGCUACACCAUGGACAUCUACCACGUGACCCCUGGGAGUGAGGGCCAGUGCCCACAAAGUAGUUGCCAUCAUGUACCACGAGCUUCUCAAACCCUCUAAAGUGGCCAUCACUCUUCCUAUUGACCUUUCUCUUUGGGUUCAACUUUUUGUGGUUAGUUUUGUUUAUUA